AAUGGGCGAAAGCCUGACGCAGCAACGCCGCGUGAGUGAUGAAGGCCCUCGGGUCGUAAAGCUCUGUCGGGUGGGAAGAACAUCCUGGUUGAAAGACCAGGCCUGACGGUACCACCGAAGGAAGCACUGGCUAACUCCGUGCCAGCAGCCGCGGUAAUACGGAGAGUGCAAGCGUUGUUCGGAAUCAUUGGGCGUAAAGGGCGUGUAGGCGGCUUGCUAAGUCUGGUGUGAAAUCCCUCCGCUUAACGGAGGAAGUGCACUGGAUACUGGUGAGCUUGAGUACGGGAGAGGAAGGCGGAAUUCCUGGUGUAGAGGUGAAAUUCGUAGAUAUCAGGAGGAACACCUGUGGCGAAGGCGGCUUUCUGGCCCGAUACUGACGCUGAGGCGCGAAAGCGUGGGGAGCAAA
rnacentral:rRNA from 1 species